CUCCCUCGCAGGACUGGUCUUCUUCAUAGUUAUCGGUUACAUAUUCUCCAAACGCCCAGACCUGGUCAACUGGCAUGCAGUGUUCUGGGGCAUUACAACACAGUUUCUGUUUGCGCUGUUCAUCCUCCGGUCGAGAUUUGGAUACAGCGUUUUCAACUGGUUGGAGAGAGGCUUGAAGAAUACAUGAGACACACAGACAAAGGUUCUCAGUUUGUGUUUGGGGACAGCUUCAGAGAUCACCAGUUUGUGUUUGUGACAAUGCCACUGAUUAUUUUCAUGAGUUCCACAGUCAACAUGCUGUACCACUACGGGGUGCUCCAG